rnacentral:lncRNA from 1 species
GUAGUUCUCCUUGGUGAUGCUUCCAUCAAAGACCCUCCAGCGCCACUGGUCAAUGAGGUAGCUGAAGGGGAUAAAGGCGAUCUUAUCAAGGGCCAUCUUCAUUAGAAAGUUGAUGUCAUACUCUGCCAAGAGAAAGACAGAAGGAACGCAGCCUCAGGCCUGACCUGAAGUCCUUCCUGUUGUAGAAGUCCCAGGCAGAGGCGUGGCACACCACCUCCCGUCCAUCCGUUGGUUUCUCCAGCAUCGACUCCGCCCAGAACUCAGGAGGCAUGGAACUGAAAGCAAGGAGAGGGGAAGACGGUGGAGCUGGAGGCCCGGCUGUCUGUGAAGAGCUCCUGAGUACCAGGCCAGAACAGCCCAAGAGCAGGCUGUACUUUCUGCUGGCUCAUUCUCAGGCCCAGCUGUGUAGCAGUGGGACAUCCUCUAUACUCUCCGGUUAGGGACUAAGUUCAGGAAUGAACAGCUCUGCCUUACAGAAGCCAAAGGCUAACUACUGUGAUAAACUAAUCUAACCUUGCUUGCUGAUAGCCUGGGGGUACUUAGAGUCGUCACUCUCCUCCUCCCCCAAGGUGACAAUGUAUUCUAAGAGCUUGUUGAAACACAGGGCUUUCCACUAUGCCAUACUUUUUGGGGGGAGUGGUUACAGACUCGAUCAAUCUGCUUUAUUCUCUGUGGGUUUCCCAGAGCUUAGCAUGCACCUGUCACAAAGAAGGGAGCACAGGGGUGACAUGAAUGACUGGCGGUUCGAGUGCGCACGCUCGUGACGGGGAGCUCCCGGUCUCUGCAAGAGCGAUCUAUGAAGAACCAAAUCCCACCAACUUGAAAUUUACAGUAAUACAUUGAAUAUCCUGAUAAGUCAAGGUUAAAAAUAACUUUCUCUAUUUUUAGGGUCUUGCUCAUGAGGGAGAGGGAACAUAAGGAAAAUAUACCUUACACUUGUACUGCACAUUGGAUGUUUCUGGACCCUUGUGUGUGAGUGGUACAAUUUGACGUUUAGAUAUCCCCGGGAGGUAGGGAAGUGGUAAGGUUCUCUCUCCCCCGUCAGCUCCCUCCCCAGAUGCCACUGAGAUCGUGGAGGAGUCUCCUAACCCUGCAGGAAGAUCUAAUUAGGGUGAGGCCAGCGAGGAGCUGAGAGGGUCCUGCCCACCUGUGCAGACAGAGCCUGCUUGUUCAGCCAAUCUCUCACCUUUUAAAUCCUUUCCAGUUACUCCUAACUACAGAGCCGAGGGGAAAUCACUAAAACUAAAGUCAACACUAUGCAAC